GUCAUUAACUGAGGACCGGUUACCUUGACCAGUUUUUGAAUGAAAUGGAAAAGUGGACCAUGAUAUGUUGGACAGUUACACCAGGCUUGGAAGCGGCAGCUCUCUGCGUGUCAGAAUCACCUGCGGCCCGGCUGUCUGAGCCACUCCCCUGCUCCACACCCGGAAAACCUCCAGGAAGAGCGUCACAAGCAAGCGACCACUGUCCUUGCCCUGUUCAGCUUCCCAAGCAAGGUCCCUCCCAGUCCCCACACCUGGUUCCCUCUGCCAUGCUGUGAUGCCACCAGAGCCCCGUCUGGACUCGGCCCCUCUGCCCGGACUCACCAGACUCCAGGCAAAUUGCUUGUAGAACCUGUCUGUCCACAGCAGUCUCGCCCAGCGGGAAUGGAAGAGCCAGCCUGGGGGACCAGAGCCUAAGCUCGGGGGGAGUCUACUGCUGCGUUCCCAGCAUCGAGAUCCGUGCCCGGUUCAUAGCAGGAGCUCAGUUAAUAAACAUGGAAUAAAUACUACCGGC
rnacentral:lncRNA from 1 species